rnacentral:rRNA from 1 species
UGCCAUACCAUGCUGAAUAUACCGGUUCUCGUUAGAUCACCGAAGUCAAGCAUCAUUGGGCGCUGUCUGUACUUGGGUGGGUGACCACCUGGGAACGCCACGUGCCGUU